GCAAUGCGGGCCUGAACGGCUUGAUUCUCAUUGAGAAUCAAUGGGCUUAGUUAUUGCGAUGUUGUGUUUGCAAACUCGAUUUUCGAGUUAGGUAGUUUUUCUACCAUCCUGUUUUGUGCAGUUAUCCCCUGCCGCAAAACAUAUACUUCCUGUAUUUAUUUUUUGACCUGUCUGUCAAAUUUUUAGCACCGCCCAAGGGCGGUGUUUUUUUAU
rfam:Vibrio furnissii NCTC 11218 chromosome 1, complete sequence.